AAGGAUCAUUAUUGAAUAAACUUGAUGGGUUGUCGCUGGCUUCUAGGAGCAUGUGCACGCCUGUCAUCUUUGUCCAUCCACCUGUGCACCUUCUGUAGUCUUGGAGAUAAUGAGCGUGUGUGACACUUGUCGGGGUAAACCAAUUCAUUGGUCCUCGGAAAGAGGCCUGCCACACGAAAGUAUGGCUGACCUUGGUACUCGCGCAAGUUUCUCCGAGUCUAUGUCUUUCAUAUACCACGUAAAAUGUCUUAGAAUGCUUUCAUUAGGUCUUAGUGCCUAUAAAACACAAUACAACUUUCAGCAACGGAUCUCUUGGCUCUC
rnacentral:misc_RNA from 1 species